UACGUAGGUGGCAAGCGUUGUCCGGAAUUAUUGGGCGUAAAGCGCGCGCAGGUGGUUCCUUAAGUCUGAUGUGAAAGCCCACGGCUCAACCGUGGAGGGUCAUUGGAAACUGGGGAACUUGAGUGCAGAAGAGGAAAGUGGAAUUCCAAGUGUAGCGGUGAAAUGCGUAGAGAUUUGGAGGAACACCAGUGGCGAAGGCGACUUUCUGGUCUGUAACUGACACUGAGGCGCGAAAGCGUGGGUAGCAACAGG
rnacentral:rRNA from 1 species